UAGAACGCUGAAGCUUGGUGCUUGCACCGAGCGGAUGAGUUGCGAACGGGUGAGUAACGCGUAGGUAACCUGCCUCUUAGCGGGGGAUAACUAUUGGAAACGAUAGCUAAUACCGCAUAAAAGUCGACAUUGCAUGAUGUUGACUUGAAAGGUGCAAUUGCAUCACUAAGAGAUGGACCUGCGUUGUAUUAGCUAGUUGGUGAGGUAACGGCUCACCAAGGCAACGAUACAUAGCCGACCUGAGAGGGUGAUCGGCCACACUGGGACUGAGACACGGCCCAGACUCCUACGGGAGGCAGCAGUAGGGAAUCUUCGGCAAUGGGGGCAACCCUGACCGAGCAACGCCGCGUGAGUGAAGAAGGUUUUCGGAUCGUAAAGCUCUGUUGUAAGAGAAGAACGAGUGUGAGAGUGGAAAGUUCACACUGUGACGGUAACUUACCAGAAAGGGACGGCUAACUACGUGCCAGCAGCCGCGGUAAUACGUAGGUCCCGAGCGUUAUCCGGAUUUAUUGGGCGUAAAGCGAGCGCAGGCGGUUAGAUAAGUCUGAAGUUAAAGGCUGUGGCUUAACCAUAGUACGCUUUGGAAACUGUUUAACUUGAGUGCAGAAGGGGAGAGUGGAAUUCCAUGUGUAGCGGUGAAAUGCGUAGAUAUAUGGAGGAACACCGGUGGCGAAAG
rnacentral:rRNA from 1 species